GACGGAGGGUGCUAGCGUUGUUCGGAAUGACUGGGCGUAAAGGGCGCGUAGGCGGCCGCUUGCGUCGGAUGUGAAAGCCCGGGGCUCAACCCCGGAACGGCAUCCGAUACGGGGCGGCUCGAGACCGAGAGAGGUGAGUGGAAUACCCAGUGUAGAGGUGAAAUUCGUAGAUAUUGGGUGGAACACCGGUGGCGAAGGCGGCAUCCUGGACCGGCAUUGACGCUGAGGAGCGAAAGCCAGGGGAGCAAACGGG
rnacentral:rRNA from 1 species